rnacentral:lncRNA from 13 species
CUUUUGACAGGGGGUUCUUGCAUUCUCAUUUCUGUUAGAAAUCUUUAAUAUGAAAUAGUGUAAUACAUAGUAAGAUUAGGAAAUUUCACUGUUUUAUUUUAAUAAUAACUGCUUUCAUAAACUCUCAUGGAUCAGUCCUAACACAGUGACUGCUUAGUAUGGAGUUAAGUUGUAUUUCAGAACUUGGGUAAACAUUUUAUUCUGUUUAUUUCCUUACUAAACACCAAAAUCCCAUUGCACAUAAAAAUGGGUCAUAUUGGUGGAUUACCUCCAAGAAAGACAAACAACAAAACAAAACUAACACAAAAACAAGUAGAGUAGCUAACAGUCUGUUAGCUAAAGUUUUCACUCUCAAGUGGAUCAAUAAACUCCCGAGCCUUAGGAAUAACUGUGCUUAAAAAAAAUGUUCACACUUUCAUCAUCACAUAAUCAAUACAACAAAUAAACUGGUUGACAAAUCCGUUUCUACCUAUUUCCCUUCUUCCUACUCUGACUCCAGCAAAGGCCCCACUUCAGUGAGCUCGACCAUCGAUCUUUCUUUCUCUCGCCCAUCCAUUUCCCUUGUCACUGCAUGAGUAUAAUUUUAAGAAACAUGUAGACACACACAACUUACAGAGAAUAAAAGACACAAGUACACACACACACGUAAUUUUAUUGUAUAUACAAUUAUAUCUACAAAUGCACAUAUAUAAUUAUGUAUGUUAUUAUAUAUGUAUAUAUAUAUGGUGAUCUCUUACCUGAUAUGAAAUGUGUUAUUUUAAAAAGUAGGUACACAAUUAUUGUCUCUUGAUCAAAAGGUUGAACCCACAAAUUUUCUGCUUCAUUUCAUGCAGGGGAGUAAAGGAAAAGAGAUUUUGCCAUUCUCUUCAUUCUCUCGAAGUAUUCCCUAAGGGAGAAGAGCAAAUGAACAUGUAUGAACAAGUCACUAUGCUGUUUUGGGGUACAUGUGAAGAACAUGCAAGAUUGUUGCAUAAGUACACACAUGCAGUGUGAUUUGCUGCCUUCCUUCCCUUCACCUAUAUCUGGCAUUUCUCUCCACGCUCUCUCUCCCCAACUCCCAACCGCCACUGUCCCUCCCUAUUUCCAUCCGACAAACCCAGCAAUAUGA